ensembl:lncRNA
AUGAUUUUAAAGUACUCGUUAUUAAAGAAUAAAGACUCAUGGUGAUCUUAAAAACAAAGAGAGAAAUAUUUUAAUUUAACCGUGUUUAACUUUUUAAUAUUUGUAACCUUUGACUGAUCUUUAAUGUCUAAUAACAAGGCUUGGUGCACACAUUAAAAAAAAAAAAAAAAAAAAAAAAAAUUCCACUGUCUCCAUGGGCUCUCUCUUCCAUAUAUGGAUAGAAGAGUAACGCUGCAUGACUAUUGGCUGUCCAGCUGAAGUUCGCGUGCUGAUUGGCUGAGUAAUACUGCGAUAGAGCGAGACCAACGGCAGAUGUUCCAGAAAUCUCCCUGAGAUUGAUCUUUGAGCUUUUUCUCCUGAGCAAUUCUUAAGCAUUACGAGCACUACUGACUCUCCACUGCAUAAUAUCCGACGAUCUAUUCAGGGCACGACCUGCAUUUUUCUCUGCAGCUGAACGCUUGGUUAGUGUGCAAAAUGCCUAAAUGAU